rnacentral:rRNA from 1 species
ACUCCUACGGGAGGCAGCAGUGGGAAUCUUAGACAAUGGGGGAAACCCUGAUCUAGCCAUGCCGCGUGAGCGAUGAAGGCCUUAGGGUUGUAAAGCUCUUUCGCUGGGAAGAUAAUCGGUACCAGCAGAAGAAGCCCCGGCUAACUCCGUGCCAGCAGCCGCGGUAAUACGGAGGGGCUAGCGUUGUUCGGGAAUUACUGGGCGUAAAGCGCACGUAGGCGGAUUGGUAAGUUGGGGG